GACGAGCGCUGGCGGCGUGCCUAAUACAUGCAAGUAGAACGCUGAAGAGAGGAGCUUGCUCUUCUUGGAUGAGUUGCGAACGGGUGAGUAACGCGUAGGUAACCUGCCUUGUAGCGGGGGAUAACUAUUGGAAACGAUAGCUAAUACCGCAUAACAAUGGAUGACACAUGUCAUUUAUUUGAAAGGGGCAAUUGCUCCACUACAAGAUGGACCUGCGUUGUAUUAGCUAGUAGGUGAGGUAAUGGCUCACCUAGGCGACGAUACAUAGCCGACCUGAGAGGGUGAUCGGCCACACUGGGACUGAGACACGGCCCAGACUCCUACGGGAGGCAGCAGUAGGGAAUCUUCGGCAAUGGGGGCAACCCUGACCGAGCAACGCCGCGUGAGUGAAGAAGGGUUUCGGAUCGUAAAGCUCUGUUGUAAGUCAAGAACGGGUGUGAGAGUGGAAAGUUCACACUGUGACGGUAGCUUACCAGAAAGGGACGGCUAACUACGUG
rnacentral:rRNA from 1 species